rnacentral:rRNA from 1 species
GGGUGAAAUUUAUAAGUUUUUGGUAAGUUACCCAAUCUUAUUCAUUUUUAUAGGCUAUAAAGAUUUGGGUUUAAACUAGGAUUAGAUACCCUAUUAUACCAUUUUUAUACUUUUUUGCUUGAGUAGUAAACAGUUAUGUUCUUGAAACUUAGAGGAUUUGGCGGUAUUCAAGUCUAGUUAGAGGAACCUGCUCUGUAAACGAUAAACCACGUAAUAUCUUUCUUUUGCUAGUUUUCAGUUUGUAUACCGCCAUUAGUAGGUGAUACUUACAAGUAUACACUAAAAUAAUCUCUCUUAAUAUAUUAGGUCAAGGUGCAGCCUAUGCUAAAGUUGAAGUGGGUUACAUUAUUUUUUAGAUAGACGGAGUGAUAGUUUAUAAGUUUCAUGAAGGCGGAUUUAAUUGUAAUUUUGUUUUAAAAAGUUAAUAUGAUAGGAGCUCUAGAAUAUGCACACAUCGCCCGUCGCUCUCAUUAAUUAAAGUGAGAUA